rnacentral:rRNA from 1 species
UCGAGCGGUAACAUUUCUAGCUUGCUAGAAGAUGACGAGCGGCGGACGGGUGAGUAAUGCUUGGGAACAUGCCUUGAGGUGGGGGACAACAGUUGGAAACGACUGCUAAUACCGCAUAACGUCUACGGACCAAAGGAGGGGAUCUUCGGACCUUUCGCCUUUAGAUUGGCCCAAGUGAGAUUAGCUAGAUGGUAGGGUAAUGGCCUACCAUGGCGACGAUCUCUAGCUGGUUUGAGAGGAUGAUCAGCCACACUGGGACUGAGACACGGCCCAGACUCCUACGGGAGGCAGCAGUGGGGAAUAUUGCACAAUGGGGGAAACCCUGAUGCAGCCAUGCCGCGUGUGUGAAGAAGGCCUUCGGGUUGUAAAGCACUUUCAGUCGUGAGGAAAGGGUUGUAGUUAAUACCUGCAAUCUGUGACGUUAGCGACAGAAGAAGCACCGGCUAACUCCGUGCCAGCAGCCGCGGUAAUACGGAGGGUGCGAGCGUUAAUCGGAAUUACUGGGCGUAAAGCGUGCGUAGGCGGAUGAUUAAGCGAGAUGUGAAAUCCCGGGGCUCAACCUCGGAACUGCAUUUCGAACUGGUCAUCUAGAGUACUGUAGAGGGUGGUGGAAUUU